UACGUAGGUGGCAAGCGUUACUCGGAAUCACUAGGCGUAAAGCGCAGGUAGGAGGUUGGAUAAGUCUGUUGUGAAAGCUCCCGGCUUAACUGGGAGAGGCCAACGGAAACUAUUCGGCUAGAGUGCGGUAGAGGUAGCUGGAAUUCCCGGUGUAGCGGUGAAAUGCGUAGAUAUCGGGAGGAAUACCUAUGGCGAAAGCAGGCUACUGGACCGUCACUGACUCUGAUCUGCGAAAGCUAGGGGAG
rnacentral:rRNA from 1 species